rnacentral:rRNA from 1 species
AUGCAAGUCGAGCGAAUGGAUUAAGAGCUUGCUCUUAUGAAGUUAGCGGCGGACGGGUGAGUAACACGUGGGUAACCUGCCCAUAAGACUGGGAUAACUCCGGGAAACCGGGGCUAAUACCGGAUAAYAUUUUGAACUGCAUGGUUCGAAAUUGAAAGGCGGCUUCGGCUGUCACUUAUGGAUGGACCCGCGUCGCAUUAGCUAGUUGGUGAGGUAACGGCUCACCAAGGCAACGAUGCGUAGCCGACCUGAGAGGGUGAUCGGCCACACUGGGACUGAGACACGGCCCAGACUCCUACGGGAGGCAGCAGUAGGGAAUCUUCCGCAAUGGACGAAAGUCUGACGGAGCAACGCCGCGUGAGUGAUGAAGGCUUUCGGGUCGUAAAACUCUGUUGUUAGGGAAGAACAAGUGCUAGUUGAAUAAGCUGGCACCUUGACGGUACCUAACCAGAAAGCCACGGCUAACUACG